rnacentral:rRNA from 1 species
UACGUAGGGUGCAAGCGUUGUCCGGAAUUAUUGGGCGUAAAGAGCUCGUAGGCGGCUCGUCGCGUCGACCGUGAAAACCCGCAGCUUAACUGCGGGCUUGCGGUUGAUACGGGCGGGCUAGAGUUCGGUAGGGGAGACUGGAAUUCCUGGUGUAGCGGUGAAAUGCGCAGAUAUCAGGAAGAACACCCGUGGCGAAGGCGGCUCUCUGGGACGGUACUGACGCUGAGACGCGAAAGCGUGGGGAGCGAACAGG